GCUCCCGAAAACAGCUGACAACACAUUUUCAGCCUGUUUUGUUCACACUUCACGAUUUACUGCAAAGGUGGUUAGAUUUCUGUGUCCUAUGCCGUUCCUGAACUUACGUGUUUCAGAAAGAGAGCAGAGUGUUCUGGGAAUUCCUGGCUAUCGUGUGUCUCUGGGAUCUCAAUUGAUGCCGUUUUCCUGUCCGUUUCGAUGCUGUCUAAGCGCUCUGAUGAGCUGGAGUCUCGAUGUGGAGGGAGUAGGAUGGCAGGAGUGAAGCCAGUGUGGUUUCUGCGGCAGGCCUACUCUGAAAGGUAAAAACAUAUGAAGCUGAAGCAGAAAAAAGGAAGAUAAAGCACGUGCACUAAUGCUAAGGGGUCAUUUAUAGUAUCAAAAUGAACCCAAAAAGAUCGAAAUAUCGUCAUUCUUUUGUAAACAACACACUUCCAAUGUGUCUAAUGUCUAAUUCCUGGACAGGCUUGUCGAAGUUGAGAGGUUUUUAAUAAUUCUUGUGCCGUCCACGAUGGUGAAAAUGUGGCGGGGUUUGGCCUGCUUUCUCCAACUGCUGCCUGCCAUGACUGUGAGUUCAUUCCAUCCUGAUUAUAAUUGCUUUCAUCUUGUAUCGUGACUGUUUUCAAUUCUUCAUGGUGCUGUCAGCUCGGCGAGGUUCACAGUGGUUGCAGGAGUCCCAUAUUGCUGUGGUUUAGCUGACUAAAGGAUGGAAGAGGAGCAGGAAGAGUUUUGCCUUGCAGUACCUUGGAAAGAAUCAAUCUGAAGAAACAUAUGUUGGGUGAUGAAGCGUUUUCAAGUUGUGUGUGUGAUUUUAAACAUUCUCUGAGAUCAAGAUCGAUUGCACUGUGCCAUCUCAAGGCAAAUUAUAUGCAGUAUU